UACGUAGGGUGCAAGCGUUAAUCGGAAUUAUUGGGCGUAAAGCGUGCGCAGGCGGCUUUGUAAGUCUGUUGUGAAAUCCCCGGGCUCAACCUGGGAAUUGCGAUGGAGACUGCAAGGCUAGAAUCUGGCAGAGGGGGGUAGAAUUCCACGUGUAGCAGUGAAAUGCGUAGAGAUGUGGAGGAACACCGAUGGCGAAGGCAGCCCCCUGGGUCAAGAUUGACGCUCAUGCGCGAAAGCGUGGGGAGCAAACAGG
rnacentral:rRNA from 1 species